CCAUCGAAAUUAUCGUAAAAAAUGUGACGAUAUUUUUAUAAAUAAUAAUGACGAAGGUUUUUACAAAACUGUGGAUGAAACCGAAAAUUGACAUGUUUUUUACGGGAACCGACAUUGAAAUCAAUAAUUCAACGACAAUUUUGAAAAUUCCUCUUUGAAAGGGAUGAGUUUUGGGUUUUGAUUCUUGCACCCUCUUUCUCAGUCUCACUCGAUCCCUCUCUUUGCGGCCUCUCUCACUCUGUCUCUCUUGACUCUUACACCCUAAAACGCGGUGGUGUCGCCGUCGAAGCUGUCUCCAGUGCCACUGUCGAAGUUGCCACUCUCUACGUUUCUCUCUUUCUGUUUCGCUCAACCCCGAACCUUCUCUCACUCUAUGCAAAUUUUUUGGUUUCUGUGAAUGUUUCAUUUUCUAGAACCCUCUGUGCACACUGUCUCCGGCGAACUCUCGUGCUCACAGUCUCUGGCGAACGGCUAAAGUAGUGUUUUGGAGAACAAAACAGAGAGAGCAAGACACCAUAAACUUUUCACAAGUUUUGGAGGGCAGGCGCGGAAAGAAUCUGCAGUGUUGUUUUAUGAAGUACUGGGCUAGAUCUUGGAGAGGAGCUGCUCCGUCGUGGCACAAUGGUGGUGGAUGGUGGCAGGUAUUGUUGCAAAUGGAAGCACCACCAUGCGAUGGAGGUGUGCUGAGAUGGGAAAGGGGAAGAGAGUCGCGUAGAGGCAUUGUCGAUGCGACAGCUCAUCCCGGCAUAUGGACAGAAUGAGAGUGACUAAAGAAGAUCGUGCUGUCGCGACACGACAUCGAUUGAUAUCAUUUUGGGGAAUGCACGAUGUAAAGAAUGGGAGAUAUCUACUGUGAUGUUGCUGUUGCGGCAACUUUUCGUGGUGACAUACAGAGCGCGAGGAAGCGAGAGAACAAAAAAGGAAAAGAAGGAAACUGCCACCAUCAAAUGGUUUCCGAUCAGAGUUACAACCCACUGUCGUCGACGAUGGUUUUGAAAACUACAGGCUAUGUAGAUGUGGAGCAAAACAAAUGAGAACAUGCUAUUCAAAUUGCAGAGCAGUUUGAAGCUCUAGGUUCUGAAAUUGGUGUCAAAUGUGUCGUGCUUGUUGGAGGAAUUGACAUGGUACAUUAGGCAUCUGUAAAAAGGUUGUUGCUAAGGUCAUUCCUGGUGCACCUAAUGUAAGAUCAAGUAUAACACUCGAAAUUUUGAGUACUAGGAAUAUACCAUAAGGAAAAAUCUUAUUAGGACCAUUCUGUUAUAUUUUUUGUAAAUAUUUGUUAUUAUUAUUUGUGUAUUAUGGGUUUUAUCCUAAGCAUAUACUUGUGUUGUGAUAGUGUAUGUUCUUCUGCAUGUGUGUAUUUUGUGUAUAUUAUUGUUAUUAUUGUUGUUGUUGUUAUUAUUAUUUUAUAUUAUAUUUGGUGUUAGAAGUGUAUUAGAUUGACUUUUUAUAGUUUAAAUGCUUGAAAAGUUGUUUAAGGCUAGUGUUAGUUUUAUGAUAACAAUCCUAGAUAGGCCAGUCAUAUCUUGAGUUAUAGUUGUCCGUUUGAGGUAUUUUUUGCGUCAUUGAAAAGUUUGCUGGAAAAUAUACAAUUCAUUCAUAUACACCUUAGAAACCAAAAUCAACUUCUAUUUUAGAGAAAAUCAACUCCAAAGUUGGUCAUUUGAUCAUGAAAAAUGCUCUAAGUCUCACAUUGGACAAAAUAACCUCAUGAAUCCCUUUGUUCCCCUAUAUAUAGAGGAGACCAACUACUAGUCUUAUAUGCACUAAAGAAUUAAGGGGCUUAGCAUUAGGCAUAGAGCCCCUCAGUCAAUAUUUUUAUAUUUUCCUUUGAGUUUUCAAAGCCGGGGAAUUUAGAUGACUUGAGAUUGUGUUUUAAAUCACAACUAAGUUUUUGCUAUAGUAAGAGUUGUCGUGGAGAUCGUGGUGGACAAAACCAUUGGGACAAUGUGUUCUUGGGAGUGGUCACAAGAUUGUUUUUCUUUUCCUUUUUGAGGAAUUGCUUCAUUUGAGGUUAGGGGGAGUGAGUUCUCUUUUUUUCUUUGGUUAUGAGUGGUAAUGAGUCACGAGUAGAUUGUAUGAUUUUAAGUUUAUGAUUAUAGUAUAUUUAUUUUCUUGGAUGGGUUGUGAAUACCCUAAAGAACUUUUUUUUAUUAUGAUUUGAGUGAAUUUGAUUGUUGUAUGUUUUUUAUGUUUUUUUAUUUUGAUAUUCUUGAAAUUGAAUUUGAUAAUUGAUAUGUUGGACACGUGUUGAUUUUCUGAUAAAAAAUGUUAACUUAGAACAUCAAAAUGUGUACUUAAAUGAUGGAAUUAGACUAUGUUCUUCAUAACGGUUGUAUCCUUGGAUAUUAUCUAGCUAAUGGAUUUGAUUUCACUCAAAACUGAUUUAUAUAACUCCAAAUAUUAAUAUUUUAGUGAGUAAAGGUUAAGCUGUCAGAAUUAUGCAGUCAGUUUGUAUAUUUCCUAAUUUUAAUUUCCUAAACGAUUGAAAGGAAUUUUGAGGUCAACAUAUAAGUUUGUAUUUUUCACUAACGAUAAAUCGAUGUUUAAUGUAUUUCCUAUGUUAUUUGAUUGAUUUGGAUGAGUCGAGGUGUUGUGUGAACUAGUCAUGUGUGUUUUGCUUAACGUGGGUGUUGAGUUAUGUGGAGUUUUAUUGACUUAAAUUGAAAUUUUGAUAUUUCAAGUUUUAACUAAACUUGUUCCGGUAAAAUCGCGAUCCUAGAUUAGUUAACCGUUGGAUUACUUUCAAAUUUGGACUAUAGGUUCCCAACUUACUCUCCCAUGGUUUAACCGUUGGAAUUUGUAAAAUAAUACUUUUUGACAUCUCACAUAAUGUAAGAAACACGUUAAGUGCAAUUCCAACUCGAGAAGGAAUUGUGCUCGACGUGAAAUGUCACGCUCAGCGCAAAUCCCAACUCGAGAGGAAUUGCGCUCAGCGCCAAAAAUGGAUUCCUGCUUAGGAAAACGAGUUUGUUAAGCAAGAUCUGCAGAUUAUAAAUACGAUUUUCAGGAUGAAAAACACGAUUUUUCAUUCUUUUCCUCUUCAAACUUUCACCCAAACUCUAGCACCUUCUCCACCACCCACGUACACCGGUGGUCACCACGAGCUGUCAUUGCUUGCUGUCAGACUAUCGCACGAAGAUGAAUGUUUUAAUCGAAGUGAAAUCCACAGAAUCUACCUCAAGGAUUCGGCAGAGAUCAAGCUCCCAAUUCUUUCUUGCGUAGUUCCUCUGAGAUGAACAGUAGUAGAUUUACGUGGAGUGAGAUUCGUUUGUUAGAGUCGUCAUGCCGACGUGAUGACGUUGAAAUUAUUUUGAGAGAGAGUUGUGUUUUGUUAAUCAACUCUUCUGUAGCUAGUUCUAUAGUUCUUUUGAAUUGAUGAUGUAUAUAACAGAUUUAAUUAUAUGUAUGAACUAAUUUACUUUCAAUCA